rnacentral:rRNA from 1 species
AGUUUGAUCCUGGCUCAGGAUGAACGCUAGCGGCAGGCCUAAUACAUGCAAGUCGAACGGUGAUAUUUAUAUCAUAGUGGCGCACGGGUGCGUAACACGUAUGCAACCUACCUAUUAUUGGGGGAUAGCCUUUGGAAACGGAGAUUAAUACCGCAUAAUACGAUUAACUGGCAUCGGUUGAUUGUUAAAGCAUUUGCGAUAAUAGAUGGGCAUGCGUCCAAUUAGUUAGUUGGUGUGGUAAUGGCUCACCAAGACGAUGAUUGGUAGGGGAUCUGAGAGGAUAAUCCCCCACACUGGCACUGAGAUACGGGCCAGACUCCUACGGGAGGCAGCAGUAGGGAAUAUUGGGCAAUGGGCGGAAGCCUGACCCAGCCAUGCCGCGUGCAGGAAGACGGCGUUAUGCGUUGUAAACUGCUUUUUUAUAGGAAGAAGGAUCCCUUGCGAGGGAAGGUGACGGUACUAUAAGAAUAAGCACCGGCUAACUCCGUGCCAGCAGCCGCGGUAAUACGGAGGGUGCAAGCGAUGUCCGGAUUUAUUGGGUUUAAAGGGUGCGUAGGCGGUUUAUUAAGUCAGUGGUGAAAGACGGUCGCUCAACGAUUGCAGUGCCAUUGAUACUGGUAGACUUGAGUGAG